rnacentral:rRNA from 1 species
AUGUACGCCAAUGAGCAAAUGAUCUGGUAUCUCGCGUCAAUGUUAGCCAAGGUUGAAGGCAUGACAGCUGAGAUCGUUGUUGCUACCGCGCGACUCGACUCGGCUGCCUCAGCUACGACAACAUCAGACCUGGUUGUGCCCAGCACUGACCUCGCGACUACCAUGCUGGAGUCAUCCACGCCCAUCAGCCAGACCCUCACGGACGGCGACGACAAUUUCAUCCAUGUCACCACUGCCCCUGCUCCGCCCACCGUGGUCGAGGAGAUCCACGACGCGGCCUCCGUCUUCUGCCUCGAGCCUACAGUCGACCUCACCAUCGACAACACGGUCACCGCAGCCGCCACCGACGUCCCCUCCUCCACCACCAAGGCCGCGGAGGUCCUCGAGGUUGUCCAUGAUGCGUCCCCUGCCUGCGUCGAGUGGGUGCCUGGCACAUGUUCGACGGAAUGCUUGCACCAUGUCACCACCACCGACAUCGUCAACAAGGGCCAUGGCACAUCUGCUGCCAUCUUCCUCGAGCCCGUGGUCGACUUUAAUGACAUCACACCCACCGCUACAAUGGCCGAGCCGGAAGACUGGAAGGACUACCAGGUUGUGGCGACGACGUCCCGGGCUGUCGACAUCAUCAAGGAUGUCAAACUUGCCACCCCUGUACCUCCCAUGCUCUCGAGGUACGGACCUGACAUCGCCAACAGCUAUGCCGACGUUCCUGUUGCGUCUCUGAUUUCAGUGGUCACACGCCCAGCAGAAUCGGUGCCCGGUUGCCAUCUUGAACCUCUCACUGCUUCUUGCCAUUGUUCAUCAGUCAGACGUUUUGCCGCACGUGAGGUGUUCGACAGAUUACAACGUCGAUGGCAACGACCCAGUUCACUCAAAUGCACACACCGCGCAUCAACCAGGGCUGCCUCCUAUCCAAGUGCAGAUUGUUCAGGUUGGUGUUGUUCUGUCCCAUGGCAGUCCUCAUGGAGGUUUCGCUAG